GCAAACUUGGUCAUUUAGAGGAAGUAAAAGUCGUAACAAGGUCUCCGUUGGUGAACCAGCGGAGGGAUCAUUACCGAGUUUACAACUCCCAAACCCCAGUGUGAACCGUACCCAAACGUUGCCUCGGCGGACCGCCCCGGCGCAGCCCCCCUCGGGGGGAUGCCCGGAUCCAGGCGCCCGCCGCAGGGACCCAAACCUCUGUUUUGUACAUGAUUCUCCUCUGAGUGGAUUUUACAAAUAAAUCAAAACUUUCAACAACGGAUCUCUUGGCUCUGGCAUCGAUGAAGAACGCAGC
rnacentral:misc_RNA from 1 species